GAUGAACGCUGGCGGCGUGCUUAACACAUGCAAGUCGAACGAAGCACUUUAUUUGAUUUCCUUCGGGACUGAUUAUUUUGUGACUGAGUGGCGGACGGGUGAGUAACGCGUGGGUAACCUGCCUUGUACAGGGGGAUAACAGUUGGAAACGGCUGCUAAUACCGCAUAAGCGCACAGCAUCGCAUGAUGCAGUGUGAAAAACUCCGGUGGUAUAAGAUGGACCCGCGUUGGAUUAGCUAGUUGGUGAGGUGACGGCCCACCAAGGCGACGAUCCAUAGCCGACCUGAGAGGGUGACCGGCCACAUUGGGACUGAGACACGGCCCAAACUCCUACGGGAGGCAGCAGUGGGGAAUAUUGCACAAUGGGCGAAAGCCUGAUGCAGCGACGCCGCGUGAGCGAAGAAGUAUUUCGGUAUGUAAAGCUCUAUCAGCAGGGAAGAUAAUGACGGUACCUGACUAAGAAGCACCGG
rnacentral:rRNA from 1 species